UCCUCCUCUCAUCAGUGUGUAUGCAGCGACCGCAGGGGAAGGACCGUUUAUGCCGUGACGCACCAUAGAGAUCAUAACAUCAACCCAAAUAUAGCUGCGAUAACUUUAACGUUGUUUAUGGACCCAGUGUAGGCAUAUCUCAGGAUUACCAGAACUCGUCCACAACCUCUGGAGUGGAUUUAUUUGUGUUUUUCGUUCCUUUGGACAGCCAGCGUGCCAGAGGAGACGCGGGUGACACAAGUGCGCAGUGUUCACGGGAAAAAAACAGCAAAGAGACCGCAAGGAGGGUGUUUGUUGUAACCCACCAAGCUUCGUCCUUAAGCUGUUCGGUGAGUGUGAGGAAUUUGACUGUCACAAAAUGGAAUCUUAACUGGGGUGUGUGAGGAGAAUUGUAAUGAGCACCGCGUUGCAUCCUACAGACGCGGACACUGUCCACCAAUGCUGCUGAGGGCACAACACGGAUCAACCAGCCAGAGCGCACGGCGGGCCUGUAAACACCUUGACAUUAGGUUUGUUGAUAUUAUUUGUGUGGAUUCAUCGAAGAGCCUAUUGAACAUUAAAACGCUAUAGCCUGUUAGGCCAUCAGAUAGGUGCUACAUAAAGGAGCCAGGCGUUCCCCUCAACUGUUUUGAAAAUGGGCAACAGUUUCUCCAACAUAUCUGCUUUCCAAUCACUACACAUUGUGAUGCUGGGUUUGGAUUCCGCUGGCAAAACGACUGUUCUUUAUCGUCUGAAAUUCAACGAAUUCGUAAACACUGUGCCAACAAUUGGAUUCAACACUGAGAAAAUCAAACUGAGUAACGGUACCGCGAAGGGGAUCAGUUGUCACUUCUGGGACGUCGGAGGUCAGGAGAAGCUGCGGCCCCUGUGGAAAUCCUACAGUCGGUGCACGGACGGCAUAAUUUAUGUGGUGGACUCAGUGGACGUUGACCGGUUGGAGGAGGCUAAAACAGAACUGCAUAAAGUCACAAAAUUCGCAGAGAACCAGGGGACACCUCUUCUGGUGAUAGCCAACAAGCAGGACCUGCCCAAAUCUCUCCCAGUCGCAGACAUUGAAAAACAGCUGGCUCUCCACGAGCUCACUCCAUCCACCGCAUACCACGUCCAACCUUGCUGUGCUAUAAUUGGCGAGGGACUUCACGAGGGUAUGGACAAACUAUAUGAGAUGAUAGUAAAGCGGAGAAAAUCUUUAAAGCAAAAGAAGAAACGAUAACGACAGCCCAUGGGUCGUAACCUAUAUGGACCAUGCUUUACGCAAAAUUACUGUAUCUAAAUGUUAUUCGGGUAUGCCGAUGUUGCCCUAAAAUGACGUUUACUUUGCGGUGAUUUUUGUAUUUCCUUUCAUUGGGUUAUUGUCAAAGUUGCUGACGCUAUGAACCCUACUAGCUGAAUUAUGCUUUUGUCUGCAAGAGGGUGCCUCAGCGGGUGCAAGAUAUAUACCAAGGUUAACCAAAAAAAACUUGAAAUUACUUUUAUCAUAGGAACAAAGCAUUGAUAAAUGAAAACGGGCUGGCCCGUUAUUUGCUGCUUUACUGUGGAUUCUGAUUCUGUAGCUCAACAUGUGAUUUUGAAGUAGCAUCCCAUAGCCUACCUAUAGGCCUACUGUGAUGGACUAUGGACAUCCUAUCGACACGUCUUCACGGAGUGCUUCUUCGGACAGCAAGAUUGACUUUGCACGUUAAGUGGAUGUGGGUCAAAAUAAAAUGGACCCUGUUCAUUCAGAGAAAAGAACAAACAGAUGUCUGUGUUAUGACAGUCUCACCUCAGUCCCCGUCUCGGUAUAUUAAUGCAGAUGUCAACAAGGCUUUGGAGUGUUGAAUUAGCUUUUACUAUGCGUGGUGGACUAAGGAUAACAUUGCCUGCAACGUGGUCCACUACUUUGCACUUUUCAUUUCCUAACAAAAUAAUAAAGUACUACACUGUAUAGCAAAACACAGGCUGUUUAUGUACCUGAAAGCCAAAAUUGAAGUAUUUUUUUUAAUAUUAAAAUAUAUAAAAUGCA